ACCCCUAUGGCGUAAUGGCUAACGCGUUUGACUUCUACACAUCUAAUCUUGUCAUCAAAAGAUUCUCGGUUCGAGUCCGGGUAGGGGUG